rnacentral:tRNA from 1 species
GCCGAAGUGGCGGAACUGGUAGACGCGCCGGACUCAAAAUCCGGUGGGGGAAACCUCGUGUGGGUUCGAGUCCCACCUUCGGCA